UCAUAUGGGCUCACGUGCUCUGCUUGAGCUCCUCUUUCCUGUGUCACCAUCUAAAAAGUAUCCUUGGUCAGAAAGCUUAAUACCUCCUCUGAAGACUGAUAAUAUACAUCAUCUUCCUGGACCAGUCUACAAGUGAGGGACAGUGAAUAUUUUGAAUGGCAGCUUUUAGGUAACAAAUCCUCAAAGAGAGAUAGAGUCUUACUCAUCUCUAACAUGUGCUUGACUGUGGAAGACUGCCAAUUAAUAAUGAUUGAGUGAUUUGCUAAAUAAAUAAAAUCUCUGAACAUU
rnacentral:lncRNA from 1 species